rnacentral:rRNA from 1 species
AGUCGAACGGGCACUUUCGGGUGCUAGUGGCAGACGGGUGAGUAACACGUGGGAACGUACCCUUUGGUUCGGGACAACUCUGGGAAACUGGAGCUAAUACCGGAUACGCCCUUUUGGGGAAAGGUUUACUGCCGAAGGAUCGGCCCGCGUCUGAUUAGCUAGUUGGUGGGGUAACGGCCUACCAAGGCGACGAUCAGUAGCUGGUCUGAGAGGAUGAUCAGCCACACUGGGACUGAGACACGGCCCAGACUCCUACGGGAGGCAGCAGUGGGGAAUAUUGGACAAUGGGCGCAAGCCUGAUCCAGCCAUGCCGCGUGAGUGAUGAAGGCCUUAGGGUUGUAAAGCUCUUUUAUCCGGGACGAUAAUGACGGUACCGGAGGAAUAAGCCCCGGCUAACUUCGUGCCAGCAGCCGUGGUAAUACGAAGGGGGCUAGCGUUGCUCGGAAUCACUGGGCGUAAAGGGCGCGUAGGCGGCGUUUUAAGUCGGGGGUGAAAGCCUGUGGCUCAACCACAGAAUGGCCUUCGAUACUGGGACGCUUGAGUCUGGUAGAGGUUGGUGGAACUGCGAGUGUAGAGGUGAAAUUCGUAGAUAUUCGCAAGAACACCGGUGGCGAAGGCGGCCAACU